AGAGUUUGAUCCUGGCUCAGGACGAACGCUGGCGGCACGCUUAACACAUGCAAGUCGAACGUGAGAAGAGGAGCUUGCUUUUCUGAUCUAGUGGCGGACGGGUGAGUAACACGUGAGCAAUCUGCCUUUCAGAGGGGGAUACCGAUUGGAAACGAUCGUUAAUACCGCAUAACAUAAUUGAACCGCAUGAUUUGAUUAUCAAAGAUUUAUCGCUGAAAGAUGAGCUCGCGUCUGAUUAGCUAGUUGGUAAGGUAACGGCUUACCAAGGCGACGAUCAGUAGCCGGACUGAGAGGUUGAUCGGCCACAUUGGGACUGAGACACGGCCCAGACUCCUACGGGAGGCAGCAGUGGGGAAUAUUGCACAAUGGAGGAAACUCUGAUGCAGCGAUGCCGCGUGAGGGAAGAAGGUUUUAGGAUUGUAAACCUCUGUCUUCAGGGACGAAAAAAGACGGUACCUGAGGAGGAAGCUCCGGCUAACUACGUGCCAGCAGCCGCGGUAAUACGUAGGGAGCGAGCGUUGUCCGGAAUUACUGGGUGUAAAGGGAGCGUAGGCGGGAUCGCAAGUCAGAUGUGAAAACUAUGGGCUUAACCCAUAAACUGCAUUUGAAACUGUGGUUCUUGAGUGAAGUAGAGGUAAGCGGAAUUCCUAGUGUAGCGGUGAAAUGCGUAGAUAUUAGGAGGAACAUCAGUGGCGAAGGCGGCUUACUGGGCUUUAACUGACGCUGAGGCUCGAAAGCGUGGGGAGCAAACAGGAUUAGAUACCCUGGUAGUCCACGCCGUAAACGAUGAUUACUAGGUGUGGGGGGACUGACCCCUUCCGUGCCGCAGCAAACGCAAUAAGUAAUCCACCUGGGGAGUACGACCGCAAGGUUGAAACUCAAAGGAAUUGACGGGGGCCCGCACAAGCAGUGGAGUAUGUGGAUUAAUUCGAAGCAACGCGAAGAACCUUACCAGGUCUUGACAUCGUAUGCAUAGCUCAGAGAUGAGUGAAAUCUCUUCGGAGACAUAUAGACAGGUGGUGCAUGGUUGUCGUCAGCUCGUGUCGUGAGAUGUUGGGUUAAGUCCCGCAACGAGCGCAACCCUUAAUGUUAGUUGCUACGCAAGAGCACUCUAGCAGGACUGCCGUUGACAAAACGGAGGAAGGUGGGGAUGACGUCAAAUCAUCAUGCCCCUUAUGACCUGGGCCUCACACGUACUACAAUGGCUGUCAACAGAGGGAAGCAAAGCCGCGAGGUGGAGCGAACCCCUAAAAGCAGUCUUAGUUCGGAUUGUAGGCUGCAACCCGCCUACAUGAAGUCGGAAUUGCUAGUAAUCGCAGAUCAGCAUGCUGCGGUGAAUAUGUUCCCGGGCCUUGUACACACCGCCCGUCACGCCAUGGGAGUCGGUAACACCCGAAGCCUGUAGUCUAACCGCAAGGAGGACGCAGUCGAAGGUGGGAUUGAUGACUGGGGUGAAGUCGUAACAAGGUA
rnacentral:rRNA from 1 species